CCUACGGGAGGCAGCAGUGGGGAAUAUUGCACAAUGGGGGAAACCCUGAUGCAGCGACGCCGCGUGAGUGAAGCAGUAUUUCGGUCUGUAAAGCUCUAUCAGCAGGGAAGAAUAAAGACGGUACCUGACCAAGAAGCCCCGGCUAACUACGUGCCAGCAGCCGCGGUAAUACGUGGGGGGCAAGCGUUAUCCGGAUUUACUGGGUGUAAAGGGAGCGUAGACGGGUGUGCAAGUCGGAGGUGAACGCCCAGGGUUCAACCCUGGGACUGCUUUGGAAACUGUGGAGUUGGAGUGCUGGAGAGGUAAGUGGAAUUCCUAGUGUAGCGGUGAAAUGCGUAGAUAUUAGGAGGAACACCAGUGGCGAAGGCGGCUUACUGGACAGUAACUGACGUUGAGGCUCGAAAGCGUGGGGAGCAAACAGGAUUAGAUACCCUUGUAGUC
rnacentral:rRNA from 1 species